CCGUCCUCAGGGAGCCCCAGAGGAGUGCAUAAACCAUGUUGAUAUAAAGUGCUUCAGACCAGGGUCACCACUGCUGUGGAGCUCCAGAAGAGGGAGAGCUCAACUCUGGUGGCUGCCUGGAGGAGGAGGCUUUGAAGGCAGGAUUUCAGCAGGCAUUGACCAAGGACCCCUGAGACACCAGCUCCUGUGCCUGUCCUAACCUCCCCCGAGAGCUGCUUCCUCCUUGCCUGUGAGAAGGCCUUAGCAGCAUGAGCCCAGCUGCUCUACCUUCUCCUCCCCUUCCUCCAGCAAGAAACUCCUGAGGCUGAGCCUCAUAACUUAUAUGAGGUCAGAGCAGCCCUCGAAGGUCCUGGCCAGCAGCCGGUGGAUUCAGAGCGGGGAGCCCUCUCAGAGUUUUCCAUCCUUCAGCCAACAAGUGAAGACCUGCUGUCUACACCACUGGGGCCGAGGGUGCGUGGCAGUGGGAGCAUAGAGACCCUCUAAAGGAAAUGCUUCAGUAGACAACAGUCAAAAUAAUCAAAGGAGGGGCAGGGACUUGCCCUGGUCCCACGCCCCUGCCUCAUGUUUCUUACAUACCAGGAGUGAACUUGCAGCUCCAGAAGCAGCACACACACAGGAGGUGUUGCUGUGGACCAGGAGGACUGCACACACGUUCAGAGCAGGAGAUAAAGGGGUCGAGGAAGGCCUCCGGGAUGAAGGGCCUUGAGCAGGACCCUGAGAACACAUUGGAUUUAGGACCCUGGCUGAUAUACCUGCUGUGUGAGCCCCUCUCCAUGGCCCAAUCUCUCGCCCCGCCUGAUGUCCUGGUAUUACUGCUGUCAUCGUCACCACCAGCCCCUUCACACCCCCAACUUUUAGUGAGCACUUACUGUGUGCCAGGUCUCAUGCCAAGAGUUGACCUGCGCCAUGUCAUUUCAUCCUCACAUUUACGCUCCCGGAGUUAUUGCUGUGAGUCUUUUCUUUUUUCUUUUUGAGACAGGGUCUCAUUCUGUCUCCCAGGCUGGAGUGCAGUGGCAUAAUCUCAGCUAACUGCAACCUCCGCCUCCUGGGUUCAAGUGAUUCUCCUGCCUCAGCCUCCCCAAUAGCUGGGAUUAUAGGCAUGCCACCACGCCCGGCUAAUUUUUUGUAUUUUCAGUAGAGACAAGGUUUCCCAUGUUGAUCAGGCUGGUCUCGAACUCCUGACCUCAAGUGAUCCACCCGCCUCAGCCUCCCAAAUUGCUGGGAUUACAGGCGUGAACCACCGCACCUGGCCAGAGUCCAUUUUUAAGGUGAGGACACAAAUGCUCUGAGGGAAUGGACUUGCCCAAGGUCACACGGCUUUGAGGCGGCACAGCUGGGAUUUGACUCCAGGCCUGCUGGCUCCAAAGUCCGAGAUCAUUACCACCAAACCACGCUGCCUUUUCCUUUCACUCUGGGAAAGGAGUCGCAGCUCUCCUUUCCUCUCUCCAGAAACUGGGGCAGCAUGAAAAAUUCAAGACCAGAGAUGAAAACACCUGGCCUUUUGAAUGAGGCCAGACCAAUGGCUCUGCGGCAGUGCAGCCUGCAGACACUGGUGUCAAAGGAGAUUGAGGUGGUGUGCCCCAGAGGCUCAGCUGGGCAUGGCUGGCCGGCCCCCAUAAGCAAGGGCAGAGCCAGGGGGCCUGGAGGACAUCACUUCUAUCCAGCACAGAGGGGCUGCAGGGCUGUUUGAUUAUGAGGGCUGGUGGGGUCAUAACACCCCAGACUGUGACUCUAUCACUAAUGUAGCUCGCUCCCAUUUCCAGCUAAGCCUGUUAGAUGCAGGCUGCUGUCUUUAGGGUCUGCUUGCUGAGUGGGCCAGGGUGGGAUCCUGGAGGCUCUGGGGGCCUGCCCUUCUGACCUUUCCCUGGUUGCUUGCCGUGCAGAGGUGACUUCUAUCAGCUCAGUAAACGGCUACUGGGCUAAACCCUUGUGUAUCUGUGUUUUGUCUCAGAGCAGACUUUGUGAUAGUCCUGACCCUCUCUUGCUGCACCUAGUUCUUGUGGGCUCUGGUCACCACCAAAUAGGCAAAAAGAUUUGGCAGCAAAGAAAAAAAGCAUGAUGACUUGGAAUCUGUCAGGCCUGGCUCUAACCCUGGUUCUGCCAGGCACCGGAGUGAGGGUUUGGGCAAACCCCCUGAUCCCUCAGAGCCUCCCAUUCCUCAUCUGCAGAGCAGGUCUACCAGCAGGCUCUGUGCAGGGUGGUGGCGAGGAUUAGAUAAGAGAAUGGAUGCCUUCACAUGGUAGGCAGCCCCACAGUGAGCUUUCCCUCACACUUACACCAAUGUAUGCCAAGAUGGAGCACCUCUGGCCCAAGCUUUGGCAACAGGAGACUUGGGGGUGACGAGUAGAGUGUGAUGUUCUCGUUGUUGGACAACGCGGCUUCCAUUUGCUUAGCAGGCACGUUUAUGGAUUGCCAUGUUGAAGGAUUCCUCUUGGCAUUUGGCAACCACAGCUCUCAUUUGGGGCGGCCCAGCUCCCUCCAUCAUGUCAUAAAUCACUUUGCUAAAGAUGCAACGUUGCUUUUGGGCAUUUUUCUUUUGAAAAAUCAAUAACUCGUGUAACAAGGGACUGAAUAAAGGAGUGAGCAAUGAAGCUGCCUGCCAUUUCCUUCCAUCAGGAGGGGCAGAAGCAGUGCUCUGCCAAGGUUGGGUGGGGGGUCUACUCAGAGGGCAGAGAGGCCUUGGGGUGGGGACAAUAGGCUCAACCUGUUUCCAGCAAACCUGUGUCCCCUCACCCCAACUCUUCCAACCUCCAAAUCUGACCAAGGCCCUCCUCUGCUUCAAAAAA
rnacentral:lncRNA from 1 species